rnacentral:rRNA from 1 species
CUCUGCAAACACGAAAGUGGACGUAUAGGGUGUGAUGCCUGCCCGGUGCUGGAAGGUUAAGAGGAGAGGUGCAAGCCUUGAAUCGAAGCCCCAGUAAACGGCGGCCGUAACAAUAACGGUCCUAAGGUAGCGAAAUUCCUUGUCGGGUAAGUUCCGACCUGCACGAAUGGCGUAACGACUUCCCCACUGUCUCCAACAUAGACUCAGCGAAAUUGAAUUCCCCGUGAAGAUGCGGGGUACCCGCGGUCAGACGGAAAGACCCCGUGAACCUUUACUACAGCUUCACAGUGGCAUUAAAGAACUUAUGUGUAGGAUAGGUGGGAGGCUUUGAAGCAGUGUCGCCAGAUGCUGUGGAGCCAACCUUGAAAUACCACCCUUAAUUUCUUUGAUGUCUAACCGCGCCCCUGGAUGGGGCCGGGACCCUGUGUGGCGGGUAGUUUGACUGGGGCGGUCGCCUCC